UAAAGACCAGCAUCGGUCAUGGCUUGUGCUUUUGUUUUUUAAAAAGUUUUCAUAAUCGUAUUUCAAUAUAAUUGUGAGCUUGUCUACCUUAUUGUAUAUAUUUAAAGACAUUAUUCUAAGAAGGAAUCUAGAAGCUUCACUAGACUUCCCAAGAAGUCCAUGACCCCCCAAAGUGAAGAAUCCCUGGACUAGAUGACCUCUCAAACCUCUUCCGAUUUUUAAUCCAUGAUGCUAAGUGUCAAGCAGGGAUAUGAACUAGCUAGAAAGAUCUGAGGGGGGAGAGACGAAGAGAGGUGACUCAGAGCUGACAAUGCAGCCAAAUGGUUAGAAGACAUCCCAAAGAGCUGGAGAUUCUGAAGGCAAGAUUCUCCAAGGUUUCCUCUUUGCACGGGUUACCAUGGAUUUCCUAAAUAAGUUGCUCUUCAAAUCAGGUGAUCUAAGCAAGGUCAGUAGAUAGAGUUGGUAAACUUCACUGGCUGUUUGAUUGAAGAUAAAGGGAAUGCUUUUGGAACAAUGGAGCUGAAAGAUUUCUACGUGACCCUUGAAAACAGAGAGGAAAUGUCUAGCCAGGAAUCCAGGCUAGAAACUUUGUUGAGUUAGUUUUGGACAUUACACUCAAUGAACCACCCCCUUACCAACCUAAUUCCUGAAU
rnacentral:lncRNA from 1 species